rnacentral:lncRNA from 1 species
AAAAAGUUAAGAAAAAGGGUUUUUUUAUUACUUAAAUGCAUUUUUAUUUUCUGUUUAUUAUAUGUGUCAAAUUUCUAUUACACAUUACACGCGCUAUUCAUUAAUUGGCCCAUUUGUCACGUCAUUAGCGAGUGUAACUCACGUAUAUGAUCUAUUGCAUUCGGGUAUUUAUUUGAUUUGGUUAUGGACACUUGAAGUGUCUAAAUGGGUCAUUUGAGGUAUUUGUCUGGUCGUUGUGGACAACUUAAAGGGGCCGUUUAUGUAUUUUUCCUAAAUAUUAAUAUUAAA